rnacentral:rRNA from 1 species
GACGUAGGGUCCAAGCGUUGUCCGGAUUUACUGGGCGUAAAGAGCGCGUAGGCGGCUCGUUAAGUGUGAAGUGAAAUCUCUAGGGCUCAACCCAGAAACUGCUUUACAUACUGGCGAGCUGGAGUGAUGCAGAGGUUUGUGGAAUUCCUGGUGUAGCGGUGAAAUGCGCAGAUAUCAGGAAGAACACCCGUGGCUAAGGCGGUUCUCUAGUACGGUACUGACGCUGAGACGCGAAAGCGUGGGGAGCGAACAGG